AUUAGCUAAAUUGAGUGUCACAGUAUGUGUUUAUAUCUGGUUUCUUUCCUUCAACGUCAUGUUUGUGAAAUUUAUUCACACGGUUGUGUGCAGCUAUGUUGUUCCUGCUCACAGCAGUUUUGUGCCCUUGGGUGAAAACACCACAUUUUCUAUUGGAGGCUGCAUAGCUGUCUGAAGUUGCACGUGAGUGUGGGACCCAGCACAGGAGGCCCAACUGGACUCCUGCCCAGUGCUCAUGUCACUACCUCACACUACCCACCUUCAACAUUAAGUUCUACAUGCUAUGCUGUGCAUACCUGUCACAUUCCCUUGAAUUAGGACGGAAGCUGGAUUCACCCCAUGUGCAGAGUGGGGUUAAUAAAAGCAAGUUUUGGCAAUAUACUCCUUCCAUGGCACAUAAACUUCAAGUCACAAAUCUGGAUGUGCAUAAAGGUGUUAACACCAAGAGUUGGGGUAAUAUUUCAUCUGCUCUGAAUGCAAUCUCUAUUUCUGGAUGUAUUCAUUUGGCAGGGAGUUCUGCCACUUAAGAGCUAGAGUCGAUUCUCCAGGGAGGCAAGGGGAUUUUUUUCCUGGAGAGCCAUCUUGAGACUGAGAAUACAUCAACGAACUCUGCUCUUAGCAGUACAGGUCAAGUGUUGGAGGCAGUGGAGGUCAAUGUCUUGCUGAGCCAAUGUGAGCCUUCUGUGGGGCCUGGCAAAGCUAGACAUUCCCUCUCUGCAGCUCUGCAACCUUUCUUCCCCCAUAACGUGCCUCUCACAUCCCGUCCCCAAGGAGCCACUUAUUCCCAUGACAGGUUUAUGGUCUAGUUGAACCAGCUGCCCCUCUGGCCAUGUGCACAGUUAGAGAGGCAGGGGCCUCUAGUCAUUCUCUCUCCCUCUGCCCUGGCGUCAGCCACAAAUUCCAGCAGGCUCAUUAAAGUGUCCACCUGUCUGAGCACCUCAUCAGAAGGAUUCAAUGGCUGCAGAACCUCGCUGCUCCCUCCACCUGGAGCGGGGCUGACCCUGCAGUGGCGCGUUUGGCCUGAGCCCCUUUCGUUUUUACCCUCAGGAAGCUUGGGGGCUGCGCAGGCCAGGGCUCUGCCUGGGCUCUGAAUGCUGGAGAGAAGGAGGAGAGAGGAAGUGGGAGAGGAUGUAGUAGUUUCCCCUGUCUACUUUCUCUACCUUCUUUUCUCCUCUACCCUCCCUUUCCAAGCUCAACUUCCUUGACAGUAUUAAGGAAAUACCUUUUUUAGUUACCAAAAUAAGUUGCUCUGUGGAGAAUUUCUGAUGAUCUCAUGGUGAUUUUCCUGCACCCGGAAGACACUUUGCUUUGCUUUGGGACCAUGGAUAUUCCUUGGGGCAGCCACCAAGGAUGAAUAAGGUGGGAUUCUUACCAUGUCCUCCAGCUCUUCUGAAACUUAUCAACAGGGUUUGAAUGGGGAGGCACUGGCCUCGGAGCUCCUUGCUGCUGACAUCAGUUGUGCCCUUGUAGGAGACGUCCUGGUCCUGUCUGCCUCAGAGGCUUCCAUCUGCGGAUUUCCUGAGGUCGUCCCCUUACUCCUCUGCUGCAGUCUCUCUCAACAUUUCAACUGUCUGCUCCAGAAAGUUACUCUGUCACUAAGUAAAAUAAAUACAAACAAAAUAAGCAAUAA
rnacentral:lncRNA from 1 species